GCACGGCGUCUCUCCUCGCUCCAGCUCGAGGACCGUCCCCCCCGUCCGGGGCACAGCGAGCAGCAGCCUCUGCCGCCCUGCGGGGGUGGCAGCGCCGGCCCCGGCCCCCCCAGCGCCAGCAUCUCCCCCCGCGAGGCGAGCGUCUCGGGGGUGUCCAGCAUCACCCGCCGGUAGAGCCGCCGCUGCCAGCCCGGAGGAGGGGCUGUGCCCGCCUGGAGCCCGGGCUGCGGGGUCCCAGCGCCCCGCGGGGAGGCGGAGCCCAACGGGAGACGCCAAUUCCGCCACGGAAACGGUUCGUCGCGUCCGUUCUCGUCGGCGGCGGAGCUGCGGGCGGAGGGGGCGGCGAGAAGGGAGGGGAGGGCUCUGUCCGUGCUUCGGGCUGCAGAUGGCGGGGCCGUUCGAGGAGGUGGCCGUCUACUUCUCCCGCCAGGAGUGGGCAGAGCUGGCGGGCUGGCAGCGGCGGCUCUACCGGGAGGUGAUGCUGGACACCUACGGAAUGCUCGCCUCGCUGGUCUGGGAUCAAGCCUGAGAUCAUCUGCAACCUGGAGCAAGGAGAGACGCUGUGCGUGCCAGACCCCCCGGCCGUGACGGAGGCACUGGAGCCCUGUGCCAGGCGGGCCCUGGGGGUCCAUUGGAGGCGUGGAGGGUUCCACCAGCAGGCAUUUGGGGGGAUCAUCCCGAGGUGAACCAGCUGGGAGUCGGGGAGGCCCAGAAGGACACCCUCACCCUCAUCUUGACCCGGUCCCCCAGCAGAUCCACAUAGGCGAGCGUCCGUUCAGCUGCACUGACUGCGGCACGAGCUUCCGCCUGCAGGACAACCUGAUCGCCCAUCAGCACAUCCACAUGGGUGAGCGCCCAUUUCACUGUGCUGACUGUGGCAAGAGAUUUGUUGGAAGCAUCAUCUGGUGGCCCACCAGCGUAUCCAUGCUGGUGAAGGCCCCUUUCCCUGUACCAGCUGCAGGAAGAGCUUCAGCCAGGAGACCACCCAUCAGCGCAUCCGCAAAGCGAGCACUCCUUCACCUGUGCCAGCUAUGGUCAGAAAUUCCACUGGAAGAACGCCCUGAUCCACACUGAUGAGCACAUCCACACCAGCACAUCCACACCGAUGAGCGUCCUUUUGCCUACACUGAAUGCAACAAGAGAUUCCUUGAGAAGGCUGCCCUGAGCCACCACCAGCGCACCCAUACCAACGAGAAGCUCUUCGCCCGUAU